AGAUUUGAAUAAAAAUAUUUAUUUAUUUAGAAACAUUUUUAAGUUUAUCUGUAUAUAUUGAUAUUAGCUUGAAUUUUGAACAAGAAAUAGUUUCUUAAUACGUACUUUUGAAUUUUAUGCACUUGUAUGUACACUGCUACUAACGGUGCUCUUGAUCAUGUCAUACAUGAGUACUAAUGGUGCAUGCCUUAAUAUUGGAAUGGAAUGAAUACCAGCUUAUGUAGAGAAGCGAGGCCUUUUCAUAUUUGAGGAAGAAUGUCAUGCAACCAAGAAGAAUAGGAUGGGUAUUCUAGUAAUCCUGUGGAUUAGUCUCUAUAGUUGUUGGCGGCCUAUAAAGCAGAGGUAUCUAUGACUAAAUAAAUAAAAAUUGAUGACUUACUAUUUUACAAUAUUAGUUUCGACUAUAGUGUUGCUGACUAAAUCAUGCUACCUCUCAUUAUUGCGGCGUCUCGCUAGCAGGGUAUUCCCAUUUAGAUUAUGUUUGCCCUUUCGAUCACCGGCGCGGCUGUAGCCGUCCAUGUAGGCGUCGGCGGCAGUAGGGGGGAGGGGACAUCGGAGCCGUCGGUGAUAUUGGAGGAAUCAAUGUAGCCGACCAUCCUUUGAAUGACACAGUUUUGCUACCUCCCACUGAUAACUUUAGGAGCUAUGGAGAGGAGGGUUAGGAGGGAAGCGAGCCAGCGGCGUGAAGAGAAAAUGUUAGGGUCACAAUAGCAAACGAGUUCAUCUUGCCUGGGUUGCGCUGAUAAGAAAGAAGAUAGAGCUUCAGGUGAGGCAUAUCGUCCCUAGGAAUUUGUUGGUAUCGAGGAUUGUUCCAGGAAGCACUUCUGAUGACAACAUGAUGUUGGGCCUCGGGGACAUGGUAAGCUACUCAUGUCACAAUUUUCAUCCAUUCAGACUUGUUUUUGUGAUUCUUGUACUACCACUGAUCCAUAUAUGAUCUCUUAUACUCAUCAUUUAAUCCUGCUUAAAUUAUAGUAUUAAAGGUGGUUGUACUUUAAAAGGUCUCAAAGUUGUGCAGGUAACGAACAGAAACAUAUUGAAGCACAUUGUUGUCAUCAUCCACUUAGUGCCCGCCGGGUCAUGCUCAGCAGCAACGGUGCACGGCGAUGGGAAAGACGCAGGGGUGGCGGGAUCAUCACCAGUGGGGCCAUCGGGGAGAAGAUGGAGGCAGAUAAGAAAGGAACGGGCUCGGUUGGGUGUGAAAAGGAGAAUGAGAGAGAUAGCGAUGAUGUGGUGCUGCACCACUGCUCUCCUACUGCUAGCUGAAUUUUGGUAUUGUUGCUGCUAUCUGAAUUUCGCACACACACGGCGAGGUGUUUGAUGCUGGCCGACGUCGCGCUUGUCGUGAGGGGGGGGGGGGGGUCGUCGUUGGGAAUCUUCUGUCAGAGGUGCUGCCCUGCGAGCCGCCACCUGCACAGGGCACACUCCGACCAUGCAACCGCCAAGGUCGCCGACCACAUCGUGCACGUCCACGCCAUCGACCUCGGCGGACGGUGCCGCAAUGUUCGUCAGUAUGUCCUGUUGGUCGAGGAGCGCGAAGGAAGUGGGCUGAGGGAAGUGGGGGCGGCGGCAGAAGCAGCAUGGGUGUCCUACGGUGAGCGCUUUGAGGGAUUCUGCAGAGCAGUUCUCCCCGGAGGCCUGAUGCAUCCAACCGUACAAGGAAACUUGAAAACUACACCACAACUCUUAGGCUUGCCAAAAUAUGAGGAUUAUCACUCAGUCAUGAGCGAAACUGGAUGUACCCGGUAAGGAUGGAGGCGAGAUGGGGCCAUAGUGCCCCCUUUUGCGCAGGAGGGAGUAGGUCUGAGCCGAAGGCAACAAUUGUGGCCGCUUCCAGAGCCGAAGCCACCUGCGGAGUCAAUGUCAUGGUCGCCCCAGAGCGGAAUCCAUCGCCUAGGCCACAAGAGUAGGAGCUGCUGUCGCGGAGGUCAUCUCUGAACCUAAACUGAACUUUCUAUGGAUGGUAAGAUGUCCUCCCUCAAUCUUCUAGCAGCCGGUGCUCGUUGGCCUCUCCUCACUAUUCAGCUGUUGAUUGUAUGAAAUAGAUGGUUAACACUUUAUUUUGUUGGUCCCUACUGGACGGUAGUGAUGUUGAGACACAAGAGAUUAUCAGGCCUAUGCAUAUAUAUAAAAUUGUUCAUGGAUCUUUCUUAUCUCUGAUAUAAUUUUGCCAAUGAUCAAAGAACUGUUGUUCUGAUGUACACCUAUUGUGUUGCUUAUUUUGCCAUCACUCUUCUGGUUUACCUUAGGAGUAGUACCAAUCUUAGAAAAUGCUCCUAAUUUGGGUAAAAUUUGGAAACAUUAUGGAUGGAUAAAUUUAUGGACUUGUUCCUUUAUUACAUAAUUGUAUAGCCUAUGAUCUUAUACAGUUGAGGGCCGCUUAUCCUAUUCUUUAUGUGUGAAGUUAAAAGCUAAAUAUAGCUAAUGACAUAAGUGAUCUAUUAAAAUAUAUCACGGAAGUAAGUACUUAUUUUUGUUUCUACUUAUUACCUAAUUUUAAUGUGAAUUUUUCAAAGACAUAUAGUGUUCCAUAUAGUCUAAUUUAAUAUACCAGCGAUGAUGGUAUUGAAUCUGCGAAGAAAAUAUAUACUCAUUUCCUAAUUGCAUCUUUUAAUCAGGAGGUCAGGACCAAGCUUUAGGCAGGAAAAUGGGACAAUCUUCAGUAAGCUACAAUGUUCAUGUCUUCUUAUAUCAUUUGACUGAUGUGUUCUUGUAUCAUUCUUCUACUUUCGGAGCUAUUACUGCGAUCGUUUUGACCUCAUGUCUACUUAUAUCAUUUGACCUUAUCUAGAUAUUAGUGGUUCUUAAUCCAGCAAGGUCUUGAAUAUUUUUUGCUUUGUCGAUUCAAAAUUUUGUUCGUCUAGCAACGUUCAUGGUUUAAGCUUUGAUUCGAAAAACAACUUUCAAUUUUAUAGGAGACACAAAGAGCAACAACAAGCCGCUGUAGAUAUUGUGUAGUAGCAACAUUAAUGAUCUGCUAAUGUUAUAUUUUUUUCUUCUUUCCUUAAUAUCUACAUGACCAAUGUGUAUUUUUAAUGAUCAAACAUGCACAUGUCACAUUAAGAGGUUGAGAGUAGCUCAAAAGAUAUGCAUACAUCCUCUACCUUUUACCUAAUGAAAUAUUUCUAAAACCAUAGUAGAUGUCAGGUGUAAAUUCCAUAAAGAAUUGUUGGUUUUUGUAAUUAUUUCGUGAAACUUUCAUUGUAGGGUUCUAGGAUUGGUCAAUAAGCAGGGUUGUUUUCUUUCUUUAGUAUCUGCAUGAUCAAGUCGGUCUGUACUUUUAAUGAUCAUACCUGCACAUGUCACAUUAAGAUUGAAUAUAUUGUGACUUUUCUAACCAUUUCUUGUUAAUUGCUUGAGGAAAAACUAACAGGAAAUUUUUUCUUAGAAAUCCCAAGGAAGUAAAUGUUCUCACUGUUUUGGUAAAAUAACAUAUAUUUUUGUUGUAUGUAUACUUAAUUUCAGGAGAUGUAGAUUUUCUUGUUAUCUUAUAUAUGUUCCUUUUCUUUUUUUCUUCUGUGAAAAAUGAGUUCAACAAGGGCUCCUCAUUCUAGCCUCCUGGGGUUGAAAUGAUUACUCCUUUAAUUGAUUUGAAGAUUGUUAAUUUUUAUAUUUGGAAACGCUUGGAAGCUUUCCUUUGUUUUGGCGUUAUGAAGAUCUUAUGCUGCAGGGAGAUUUCACCGAUGCCACAAAGAUGCUGCUGCAUCGAACGCAUAGGAUAAGAUGAUAUUAAGAUGCCAAAUAGCAGGUUGCUUCAAACCAGGGGAACUGGCUGGUUCAUAGAUGGUAGAAUGUUCAAUCUUCGACGAUGCUCAGGGAGCAAACAAGGGGAAUUAGGGAAAAGUAUAUUUUUCGUCCCUGGACUCGCUCAAAAGUAUAGAAACGUUCCUUCAACUUUAAAACCGGCAAAUUCAGCACCCACGUGGGAAUCUUCUUCCUUUCCAUUUUAACUCGGCUGGGCAUUUCGUCGAGUAGUAGGCGCCACCAGGCAACAAGAGGAAGAGGUAGGCAUGGAGCUUGCGUGGGUGUCGGCGGCGCACGCAAAGGGUGCAGGAGGCCAGGGAGCUGCACUACAGUUAGUUUUGUGGGACGAGCGGGGCUGUCGCGGCUAGCAGCACUAAGGCACGCGGCGGCUUGGCCUUCACGGCGAACUCGUAACACAGUCACAACUAACUGAUGCUCGUGUUGCCGCCUCGUUCUCAUGGUAUGCCUCUGCAAUUGUCGGCGACCGCGCCGUUGAUGUCCCCGCGUCAUCCAGUUCUCGUUCAAAUCCAUCACUUGCGUGUUGUGGGUCGUGGACAUGGCGCGGACAACUGCGCGACGGCGGGGCGCACGCUUGUCGCCGCUCCAGCGCCAUCAGCCGCACCCGCUUCGGCGGCUCGCCCGGUUUGCCGUUGUUGCUCGGCCACACAUGGGCGAUGACUGGUGAAACCAUGCAAGUCAGCGUGAAAACCACUGUUGUUAAAUCAAAGGACUCAAGUUAUCCGGUUUAAGAAUUGAGGGACUAAGUUUUGCUGGUUUUGAAGUUAAGGGACCGUUUCUAUACUUUCGAGAGAGUUUAGGGAUGA